CUGGAAUGUCUGCGUCAGCCACAGCCAGAUGGGAAGCACAUCCUGUUGGGAAAGUGUUUUGGGAUCCAACGCUUGGGCACAAUACAGGGCAUCUGGAGAAACACAGAAACCUCAGUUACCUGUCUUGCUCUGUCGCCGAGACUGGAGUGCGGUGGCAUGAUGUUGGAUCACUGCAGCCUCUACCUCCCAGAGCAGGAAUCAUCUUCAUCAUCGUGAUCACCGUUGUCCUCGUCGUCAUACUCUUCUCUGGCUAAGAGCAACGUUUCCCUGAUAUACUGAAUAACAGAGGCCCUUCAUGCAAAAUUUCCAAAUAAUGUCACCGAACAGGACUGCUGCAGCAAGUGGCUAGUGCUGGAGAGGGUGUGCUGCCUUCGUGGGACCGUUAUUCGAUGACCAUAUUUCAACUUGGCUGGUGUUGAAAUGUGAGAUAAAGAAAA